rnacentral:rRNA from 1 species
CCUACGGGAGGCAGCAGUGGGGAAUCUUCCGCAAUGGGCGCAAGCCUGACGGAGCAAUGCCGCGUGAACGAAGAAGGUCUUCGGAUUGUAAAGUUCUGUCCUUAUCGAGGAGAGAAUAUAGAGUGACAAAUUAUAUACUAGGCCUUUAGUUGAGGAGGAAGCCCCGGCUAACUACGUGCCGGCAGCCGCGGUAAUACGUAGGGGGCGAGGGUUGUCCGGAAUCACUGGGCGUAAAGGGCCCGUAGGCGGUAAUAUAAGUCAGUUGUGAAAGGUGGGGGCUUAACCCAGAGAGUGCAACUGAUACUGGAUAACGUGAGUGCGAGAGAGGGAAGUGGAAUUCCACGUGUAGCGGUGAAAUGCGUAGAGAUUAGGAGGAACACCAGUGGCGAAGGCGGCUUUUUGG